rnacentral:rRNA from 1 species
AACGAACGCUGGCGGCAGGCCUAACACAUGCAAGUCGAGCGAGGACUUCGGUCCUAGCGUCGGACGGGUGAGUAAAGCGUGGGAACGUGCCCUUUGCCUCGGCAUAGCCCUGGGAAACUGGGAGUAAUACCGUAUGAGCCCUUUGGGGGAAAGAUUUAUCGGCGAAGGAUCGGCCCGCGUUGCAUUAGGUAGUUGGUGGGGUAAUGGCCUACCAAGCCGACGAUGCAUAGCUGGUUUGAGAGGAUGAUCAGCCACACUGGGACUGAGACACGGUCCAGACUCCUACGGGAGGCAGGAGUGGGGAAUCUUAGACAAUGGGGGGAACGCUGAUCUAGCCAUGCCGCGUGAGCGAUGAAGGCCUUAGGGUUGUAAAGCUCUUUCAGCUGGGAAGAUAAUGACGGUACCAGCAGAAGAAGCCCCGGCUAACUCCGUG